rnacentral:rRNA from 1 species
UUGUGCCAGCAGCCGCGGUAAUUCCAGCUCCAAUAGCGUAUAUUAAAGUUGUUGCGGUUAAAAAGCUCGUAGUUGGAUCUCGGCAAGUAGAGGGCGGUAUGCUUCGUAGCAUUACUGCCCUAUUACUUGUAGUUUUGCCAGAGGUUCCUGGGUGCUCUUAAUCGAGUGUCUAGGGAUGCUGGCAGGUUUACUUUGAAAAAAUUAGAGUGCUCAAAGCAGGCUAUUACGCUUGAAUAUUCGUGCAUGGAAUAAUAGAAUAGGAAGUUGUUUCUAUUUUGUUGGUUUUCGGAAAUCGACUUAAUGAUUAAUAGGGACAGUCGGGGGCAUUUGUAUUCAAACGACAGAGGUGAAAUUCUUGGACCGUUUGAAGACAAACUACUGCGAAAGCAUUUGCCAAGAAUGUUUUCAUUAAUCAAGAACGAAAGUUAGAGGUUCGAAGGCGAUUAGAUACCGCCCUAGUUCUAACCAUAAACGAUGCCAGCUAGCGAUCUGAGGACGUUUUUUUUGUAGACUCCUCAGGAAGCUUCCGGGAAACCAAAGCGUGUGGGUUCCGGGGGAAGUAUGGUUGCAAAGCUGAAACUUAAAGGAAUUGACGGAAGGGCACCACCAGGAGUGGAGCCUGCGGCUUAAUUUGACUCAACACGGGAAAUCUCACCAGGCCCGGACACUGGAAGGAUUGACAGAUUGAGAGCUCUUUCUCGAUUCGGUGGGUGGUGGUGCAUGGCCGUUCUUAGUUGGUGGAGUGAUUUGUCUGGUUAAUUCCGAUAACGAACGAGACUCUGUCCUGCUAAAUAGUGUCAGCCUCUCUUCUGGGCUGACAAUUCUUCUUAGAGGGACUGGCGGCUCCUAGCCGCACGAGAUAGAGCAAUAACAGGUCUGUGAUGCCCAA